AGAGUUUGAUCCUGGCUCAGGAUGAACACUGGCGGCGUGGAUAAGGCAUGCAAGUCAAACGGCCCGCAAGGGCAGUGGCGAACGGGUUAGUAACACGUGGGUAACGUACCCUAAAGCCGGGCAUAACUUGGAGAAAUCCAGGCUAAUUCCCGAUAGUUCUCGCAAGAGUAAAGGAGUAAUCCGCUUUAGGAGCGGCCCGCGGCUUAUCAGCUUGUUGGUGGGGUAACGGCCUACCAAGGCUAUGACGGGUAGGAGACAUGAGAGUGUGUUCUCCAACAAGGGCAUUGAGAUACGGGCCCUACUCCUACGGGAGGCAGCAGUCGAGAAUAUUGGUCAGUGGGGGAAACCCUGAACCAGCGACGCCGCGUGCUUGAAGAAGCCUUUCGGGGUGUAAAGAGCUUUUAUCCGGGAACAAUCCUUCGGGAUGAGUGUACCGGAUGAAUAAGGGGGUGCUAAUCACGUGCCAGCAGCAGCGGUAAUACGUGAUCCCCAAGUGUUAUCCGGAUUUAUUGGGCGUAAAGAGUCUGUAGGUGGCCAGGAAAGUCUUAGGUUAAAUCCCCAGAGCUCAACUUUGGGAAUGCCCAAGAAACUUCUUGGCUCGAGGGCGUUAGAGGCUGAUGGAACGGUCGGUGUAGGGGUGGUAUCCGUUGAUAUCGACCGGAACACCAAAAGCGAAGGCAUUCAGCUGGGGCGACCCUGACACUGAGAGACGAAAGCGUGGGGAGCAAAAAGGAUUAGAUACCCUUGUAGUCCACGCUGUAAACGAUGGAUACUGGCUAUCUGAAGUGUCGACCCUUCGGGUGGCGAAGCUAACGCGUUAAGUAUCCCGCCUGGGAAGUACGGUCGCAAGGCUAAAACUCAAAGGAAUAGACGGGGCUUCACACAAGCGGUGGACCAUGUGGCUCAAUUCGUCAACAAGCGAAGAACCUUACCAGGGCUUGACAGACUAGUGAAAGUCUUCCGAAAGGUAGAUCUACCCACAAGGACACUAGUCCAGGUGCUGCAUGGUUGUCGUCAGCUCGUAUCUUGAGACGUACCGUUAAGUCGGGUAACGAGCGCAACCCUUAUCCUAUGUUUUAUAUGUCAUAGGAAACUGCCCGGGAUAACCGGGAGGAAGGUGAGGAUGACGCCAAAUCAGCAUGGCCCUUUGAUGCCCUGGGCUGCACACGUGGUACAAUGGGACCAACAAUGGGUUGCUAAAGCGCAAGCUGGAGCUAAUCCCAACAAAUGGUCUCCAAGUUCGAAUUGAGGUCUGAAACCCGACCUCAUGAAGUCGGAAUCGCUAGUAAUCGCAAAUCAGCUACGUUGCGGUGAAUACGUUCCUGAAGCUUGUACUCACCGCCCGUCACGUCAAGCGAGCUGGGAAUGCCCAAAGUGCCUUGAAAGAGGUCCUAAGGCAGGCUCAGUGAGAGGGACGAAGUCGUAACAAGGUAACC
rnacentral:rRNA from 1 species